rnacentral:rRNA from 1 species
AAUGAACGCUGGCGGCGUGGUUAAGACAUGCAAGUCGAACGGUUUUCAUUGAAGGGCAACCGGAUAUGAAAGCAGUGGCGAACGGGUGCGUAACACGUGAACAAUCUACCUCCAAGUGGGGAAUAGCUCGCCGAAAGGCGAAUUAAUACCGCAUGUGGUCGGGGCUCGCAUGAGCCUUGAACUAAAGUCAGGGACCGCAAGGCCUGACGCUCGGAGAGGAGUUCGCGGCCUAUCAGCUAGUUGGCGAGGUAACGGCUCACCAAGG